rnacentral:rRNA from 1 species
CGAGAAAGCCCGCAAGGGUGAGUAAAGCGGCGCACGGGUGCGUAACACGUGGGUAAUCUACCCUGAAGUCCGGAAUAACUCGCCGAAAGGCGUGCUAAUGCCGGAUGAGACCACGGGAGCCUCGGCUCCUGCGGGAAAAGGUGGCCUCUGUAUACAAGCUAUCGCUCCAGGAUGACCCCGCGGCCCAUCAGCUCGUUGGCGGGGUAAUGGCCCACCAAGGCUACGACGGGUAGCUGGUCUGAGAGGACGAUCAGCCACACUGGAACUGAGACACGGUCCAGACUCCUACGGGAGGCAGCAGUGGGGAAUCUUGCGCAAUGGGCGAAAGCCUGACGCAGCAACGCCGCGUGUGUGAUGAAGGUCUUCGGAUCGUAAAGCACUGUCGCGAGGGACG